CAGACCUCAAGAUAAGACUUCCCAUCCGAAAGGAGUAAGACCCCUUGUAGACUACGAGGUAGAUAGGUUGGAGGUGUAAGCAUGGUAACAUGUGUAGCUGACCAAUACUAACGGUUCGAGGGUUUGACCUA
rnacentral:rRNA from 1 species